rnacentral:rRNA from 1 species
UACGUAGGGGGCAAGCGUUGUCCGGAAUCAUUGGGCGUAAAGAGCGUGUAGGCGGCCCGAUAAGUCCGCUGUGAAAGUCCAGGGCUCAACCCUGGAAUGCCGGUGGAUACUGUCGGGCUUGAGUACGGAAGAGGCGAGUGGAAUUCCCGGUGUAGAGGUGAAAUUCGUAGAUAUCGGGAGGAACACCAGUGGCGAAGGCGGCGAUCUGGGAAGAUACUGACGCUGAGGUGCGAAAGCGUGGGGAGCGAACAGG